CAAAUUUAAGUAUUAGGGUAUUAUUUAUUUACAAUAAAUUGGGAGUUGUGCAAAUCAAUUAAGUUUGA
rnacentral:tRNA from 1 species